rnacentral:tRNA from 1 species
GCCCAGAUGGCGGAAUUGGUAGACGCGCUAGUUUCAGGUACUAGUAUCGCAAGAUGUGGAGAUUCGAGUUCUCUUCUGGGCACCA